ensembl:lncRNA
UUUCGGGUCGGAAAACUAACGAAAAAGCGCCCCGCAGCCCUCUCCUUCCACCUCUUUCCGACUUCCAGGGAAACUACAAGACUUUGCCCGAGAGGAAGGGGGUGUGGGGAGGCUCCCUUCAGAAGCAAAAAGUCCCGGCAAACAGCGAGGGCACAAAAGGGUCCCUCGCGCGGCGCUCCGCACCCCCUCUCGGUUCCCCGGGCGGGUCCCGUGGCGAGGGGUGGGCUAGAAAGUGUGAAAAGCCCCGCCGGCGCCGGAAAGCGCGUCCGGGGGCCUCUGCGAGGCCGCCCGGCUCUUCGGGAGCUCCGAGGGGCCCUGCGGGCCUCGCGGCGGACAGCGAGGGCGAGUCCCGAGGUCCGAGAGCGCCGCGACCCGCCUUGGCCCCUGAGGGGCCCCGCCGGGAGGACUCGGGCCAGACCCGGAGAAGCCGCUGACCACCCCGCCCUGGUCGUCGUCCACGUCCGCUCGGCCCGCGCGGCCCCGCGCUGGACGUGCCCGCCCCGGGCACCCAGCCCCUUCCGUCCGCCCCCGCCCCGGGAAGUCCCCGGCCCCGAGCCCAGCCGCCGCCCGGGGAGGUGUGGGCGAGCGCGCUGGAAGGAAACCGCGGCGGCCCGGCCCCUGGACGUGUCCGGGAAGGAACGCGGACUUUCUCUCAUUCCACAAGUCUUCCUUGUGUACACCCAGGGAGUCAGGCUUCACCGGUGACAAAGGGAAGACCCCGCUUGCUCCCUCGUUCAGCCUCACUCCAUUCAUCAGGAAGUGAUCCCACGGGGCAAGCUUUGCCCUAUUCCAGUGACGAAGAGUCAAGGCUAGCAGUUUUGCAGAAUAUCCCACAGUCUGGUUUUUGAUGACUUCCUCAAGAUUCAGAUGAAAAGUCUUGUCAAGAAAAUGCCACAGUUAGGUUUGUACUUCCCACGUCAUCACAUCAGGAGACCUCUGACGUCCUCAUCGGUCCGGUGCACGACCAAGCCACCCAAGGUGGUGUCUGACAGGUUUGGCCAAGGACGCAAGCUCCUGCGGUCUGUUUCCUGUGUCCUCUGAUGUAGCUCCAUCUUUCUUUGAGCACUUCCUUGUUGUCUGGCAAAAGAAGACUUUCCAGGCUCCUUUCAUCCUUUCUCAGCCUCAGCGCCUGACUCCGCUAUUUCUCCAGGGACCCCACCCAGUUCCUUUUUGUGGGCAAGGAACGGUAUUUAUAAACUGGCAUUUGGGCACUUAGGUGGACUCAUCGCUCUAGGAGGGCCAUCCCAGCCCUCCUAGUGAACAUAUUUACCUGCAUAUGUCUUUCUUGGUCUCAGGAAUUCCUUCACGUCACACCCAGCAUCACAGCAUUCACUCCAGUCUUCUUCCUUUUCGUGUUUGUUCACUCCCUUCUCGACCUGGGAGAAAACUGACUCUCCUUGUCCUCACUGUAUUUAUGUGUGUAAUCAACACCUGGGAAUGUAACCAACAAGGCUGCAGAGGCGCCUUCCCUGAUGGUACCACCCACCCCCACGUGGCCUGCAUGCCUCAUGCCUGGCCUACCCCCUCCUCUCGGAGGGCUCCCACAUCAGGGGCCACCCCCUGAGGACAACAUCCUCGUGUUGCCCAUCUUCCUCUCCAUCCAAGCACACACCUCUCUUACCCUCCUUGGGCUCUGAUGUUCCACGUCCCAUGCCGGGGGUGGGGUGGGAGGAACUACCCCUCUGUGUGGAUGCCGCCAUCUGCCCCCGGGCUAGGACUCUGACCCUCACACCUGCAAGGGCAGCAUUUCUCCCAGCUUCAGUGAAUCUUGUUCACCUCUUGGUAACCUUGUUAAAAAUGCAGACUACAGGGUCCCGCUCCCAGAGGUUGUGUAUGACUCAGUCGAUUGACACGAGAUGAUGAAAUCCGCAGCCUCAAAAGCUGCUUCUGAUGCAAGUGGUCUGAGCGACAAUUUCAGAAAUUCCAUUUUCAUCUGGAAUUAUAGGAUCAAAAAAUAAAGCACAUUUAAUAUUUUGACAUGUAUUGCCAAACCGUCUGUCUGAAAAGCUGUACCCAGUUGCAACUCCACUGGCCAUGCAUAGCAGCAGCUCACUGUCCCCAAACUUUCAACAUACUUUCAACAUAGGAGGAGGCGCUUCCCAAAAACCCUGGUUUGUUUUUUGGUUCACAGUCAACCCCUGUGAGCGAUUAAUGCACCUUUGAGAAGUGGAGCUAAAAUUCAGCGUGUGAGUAAAAAGAAAUGU